UACGUAGGGUGCAAGCGUUGUCCGGAAUUAUUGGGCGUAAAGAGCUCGUAGGCGGUCUGUCGCGUCUGCUGUGAAAACUCAGGGCUUAACCCUGAGCUUGCAGUGGGUACGGGCAGACUAGAGUGCGGUAGGGGAGACUGGAAUUCCUGGUGUAGCGGUGAAAUGCGCAGAUAUCAGGAGGAACACCGGUGGCGAAGGCGGAUCUCUGGGCCUUACCUGACGCUGAGGCGCGAAAGCGUGGGGAGCAAACAGG
rnacentral:rRNA from 1 species